AGGACGAACGCUGGCGGCGUGCCUAACACAUGCAAGUCGAACGAGGUCCAACCAGUAGCAAUACUGGGGAAUACCUAGUGGCGAACGGGUGAGUAACACGUGAGGAACCUGCCCCGAAGACCGGGAUAACGCUCCGAAAGGAACGCUAAUACCGGAUACCUUCACCGGACCGCAUGAUCUGGUGAAGAAAUGGAUUCCGCUUCGGGAGGGUCUCGCGGCCUAUCAGCUUGUUGGUGGGGUAACGGCCCACCAAGGCUUCGACGGGUAACUGGUCUGAGAGGACGAUCAGCCACACUGGGACUGAGACACGGCCCAGACUCCUACGGGAGGCAGCAGUGGGGAAUCUUGCGCAAUGGGCGAAAGCCUGACGCAGCAACGCCGCGUGGGGGAUGAAGGCUCUCGGGUUGUAAACCCCUUUCAGCAGGGACGAUUGUGACGGUACCUGCAGAAGAAGCCCGGCCAACUACGUGCCAGCAGCCGC
rnacentral:rRNA from 1 species